rnacentral:rRNA from 1 species
UACGGAGGGUGCAAGCGUUAUCCGGAUUCACUGGGUUUAAAGGGUGCGUAGGAGGGCAGGUAAGUCAGUGGUGAAAUCUCCGUGCUUAACAUGGAAACUGCCAUUGAUACUAUGUUUCUUGAAUUUUCUGGAGGUCAGCGGAAUAUGUCAUGUAGCGGUGAAAUGCUUAGAUAUGACCCGGAACACCAAUUGCGAAGGCAGCAGGCUAAACAAAAGAAUUGACGCUGAGGCUCGAAAAGCGUUGGGGGAUCAAACAG